rnacentral:rRNA from 1 species
GGGUUGUGAGGUUAAGCGACUAAGCGUACACGGUGGAUGCCCUGGCAGUCAGAGGCGAUGAAGGACGUGCUAAUCUGCGAUAAGCGUCGGUAAGGUGAUAUGAACCGUUAUAACCGGCGAUUUCCGAAUGGGGAAACCCAGUGUGUUUCGACACACUAUCAUUAACUGAAUCCAUAGGUUAAUGAGGCGAACCGGGGGAACUGAAACAUCUAAGUACCCCGAGGAAAAGAAAUCAACCGAGAUUCCCCCAGUAGCGGCGAGCGAACGGGGAGCAGCCCAGAGCCUGAAUCAGUGUGUGUGUUAGUGGAAGCGUCUGGAAAGGCGCGCGAUACAGGGUGACAGCCCCGUACACAAAAAUGCACAUGCUGUGAGCUCGAUGAGUAGGGCGGGACACGUGGUAUCCUGUCUGAAUAUGGGGGGACCAUCCUCCAAGGCUAAAUACUCCUGACUGACCGAUAGUGAACCAGUACCGUGAGGGAAAGGCGAAAAGAACCCCGGCGAGGGGAGUGAAAAAGAACCUGAAACCGUGUACGUACAAGCAGUGGGAGCACGCUUAGGCGUGUGACUGCGUACCUUUUGUAUAAUGGGUCAGCGACUUAUAUUCUGUAGCAAGGUUAACCGAAUAGGGGAGCCGAAGGGAAACCGAGUCUUAACUGGGCGUUAAGUUGCAGGGUAUAGACCCGAAACCCGGUGAUCUAGCCAUGGGCAGGUUGAAGGUUGGGUAACACUAACUGGAGGACCGAACCGACUAAUGUUGAAAAAUUAGCGGAUGACUUGUGGCUGGGGGUGAAAGGCCAAUCAAACCGGGAGAUAGCUGGUUCUCCCCGAAAGCUAUUUAGGUAGCGCCUCGUGAAUUCAUCUCCGGGGGUAGAGCACUGUUUCGGCAAGGGGGUCAUCCCGACUUACCAACCCGAUGCAAACUGCGAAUACCGGAGAAUGUUAUCACGGGAGACACACGGCGGGUGCUAACGUCCGUCGUGAAGAGGGAAACAACCCAGACCGCCAGCUAAGGUCCCAAAGUCAUGGUUAAGUGGGAAACGAUGUGGGAAGGCCCAGACAGCCAGGAUGUUGGCUUAGAAGCAGCCAUCAUUUAAAGAAAGCGUAAUAGCUCACUGGUCGAGUCGGCCUGCGCGGAAGAUGUAACGGGGCUAAACCAUGCACCGAAGCUGCGGCAGCGACACUGUGUGUUGUUGGGUAGGGGAGCGUUCUGUAAGCCUGUGAAGGUGUACUGUGAGGUAUGCUGGAGGUAUCAGAAGUGCGAAUGCUGACAUAAGUAACGAUAAAGCGGGUGAAAAGCCCGCUCGCCGGAAGACCAAGGGUUCCUGUCCAACGUUAAUCGGGGCAGGGUGAGUCGACCCCUAAGGCGAGGCCGAAAGGCGUAGUCGAUGGGAAACAGGUUAAUAUUCCUGUACUUGGUGUUACUGCGAAGGGGGGACGGAGAAGGCUAUGUUGGCCGGGCGACGGUUGUCCCGGUUUAAGCGUGUAGGCUGGUUUUCCAGGCAAAUCCGGAAAAUCAAGGCUGAGGCGUGAUGACGAGGCACUACGGUGCUGAAGCAACAAAUGCCCUGCUUCCAGGAAAAGCCUCUAAGCAUCAGGUAACAUCAAAUCGUACCCCAAACCGACACAGGUGGUCAGGUAGAGAAUACCAAGGCGCUUGAGAGAACUCGGGUGAAGGAACUAGGCAAAAUGGUGCCGUAACUUCGGGAGAAGGCACGCUGAUAUGUAGGUGAAGUCCCUCGCGGAUGGAGCUGAAAUCAGUCGAAGAUACCAGCUGGCUGCAACUGUUUAUUAAAAACACAGCACUGUGCAAACACGAAAGUGGACGUAUACGGUGUGACGCCUGCCCGGUGCCGGAAGGUUAAUUGAUGGGGUUAGCGCAAGCGAAGCUCUUGAUCGAAGCCCCGGUAAACGGCGGCCGUAACUAUAACGGUCCUAAGGUAGCGAAAUUCCUUGUCGGGUAAGUUCCGACCUGCACGAAUGGCGUAAUGAUGGCCAGGCUGUCUCCACCCGAGACUCAGUGAAAUUGAACUCGCUGUGAAGAUGCAGUGUACCCGCGGCAAGACGGAAAGACCCCGUGAACCUUUACUAUAGCUUGACACUGAACAUUGAGCCUUGAUGUGUAGGAUAGGUGGGAGGCUUUGAAGUGUGGACGCCAGUCUGCAUGGAGCCGACCUUGAAAUACCACCCUUUAAUGUUUGAUGUUCUAACGUGGACCCGUGAUCCGGGUUGCGGACAGUGUCUGGUGGGUAGUUUGACUGGGGCGGUCUCCUCCUAAAGAGUAACGGAGGAGCACGAAGGUUGGCUAAUCCUGGUCGGACAUCAGGAGGUUAGUGCAAUGGCAUAAGCCAGCUUGACUGCGAGCGUGACGGCGCGAGCAGGUGCGAAAGCAGGUCAUAGUGAUCCGGUGGUUCUGAAUGGAAGGGCCAUCGCUCAACGGAUAAAAGGUACUCCGGGGAUAACAGGCUGAUACCGCCCAAGAGUUCAUAUCGACGGCGGUGUUUGGCACCUCGAUGUCGGCUCAUCACAUCCUGGGGCUGAAGUAGGUCCCAAGGGUAUGGCUGUUCGCCAUUUAAAGUGGUACGCGAGCUGGGUUUAGAACGUCGUGAGACAGUUCGGUCCCUAUCUGCCGUGGGCGCUGGAGAACUGAGGGGGGCUGCUCCUAGUACGAGAGGACCGGAGUGGACGCAUCACUGGUGUUCGGGUUGUCAUGCCAAUGGCACUGCCCGGUAGCUAAAUGCGGAAGAGAUAAGUGCUGAAAGCAUCUAAGCACGAAACUUGCCCCGAGAUGAGUUCUCCCUGACUCCUUGAGAGUCCUGAAGGAACGUUGAAGACGACGACGUUGAUAGGCCGGGUGUGUAAGCGCAGCGAUGCGUUGAGCUAACCGGUACUAAUGAACCGUGAGGCUUAACCUUACAACGCCGAAG